GACGAACGCUGGCGGCGUGCUUAACACAUGCAAGUCGAGCGGUAAGGCCCUUCGGGGUACACGAGCGGCGAACGGGUGAGUAACACGUGAGUAAUCUGCCCAUCACUUCGGGAUAACUCCGGGAAACCGGUGCUAAUACCGAAUAUGACCACUUCAGGCAUCUGAUGGUGGUGGAAAGUUCCGGCGGUGAUGGAUGAGCUCGCGGCCUAUCAGCUUGUUGGUGGGGUAGUGGCCUACCAAGGCUUCGACGGGUAGCCGGCCUGAGAGGGUGACCGGCCACACUGGGACUGAGACACGGCCCAGACUCCUACGGGAGGCAGCAGUGGGGAAUAUUGGACAAUGGGCGAAAGUCUGAUCCAGCAACGCCGCGUGAGGGAUGACGGCCUUCGGGUUGUAAACCUCUUUCAGCAGGGACGAAGCGCAAGUGACGGUACCUGCAGAAGAAGCACCGGCCAACUACGUG
rnacentral:rRNA from 1 species